rnacentral:rRNA from 1 species
AACGAACGCUGGCGGCAUGCCUAACACAUGCAAGUCGAACGAGACCUUCGGGUCUAGUGGCGCACGGGUGCGUAACGCGUGGGAACCUGCCCUUAGGUUCGGAAUAACUCCCCGAAAGGGGUGCUAAUACCGGAUAAUGUCUUCGGACCAAAGAUUUAUCGCCUUUGGAUGGGCCCGCGUUGGAUUAGCUAGUUGGUAGGGUAAAAGCCUACCAAGGCGACGAUCCAUAGCUGGUCUGAGAGGAUGAUCAGCCACACUGGGACUGAGACACGGCCCAGACUCCUACGGGAGGCAGCAGUGGGGAAUAUUGGACAAGGGGCGAAAGCCUGGUACAGCAAUGCCGCGUGAGUGAUGAAGGCCUUAGGGUUGUAAAGCUCUUUUACACGGGAUGAUAAUGACAGUACCGGGAGAAUAAGCACCGGCUAACUCCGUG